AGUCGACGAACACCUUAUUCUGAUUUCUUCGGAAUGAAAAAUUUGCUGACUGAGUGGCGGACGGGUGAGUAACGCGUGGGUAACCUGCCUCAUACAGGGGGAUAACAGUUAGAAAUGACUGCUAAUACCGCAUAAGACCACAGCACCGCAUGGUGCAGGGGCAAAAACUCCGGUGGUAUGAGAUGGACCCGCGUCUGAUUAGGUAGUUGGUGGGGUAACGGCCUACCAAGCCGACGAUCAGUAGCCGACCUGAGAGGGUGACCGGCCACAUUGGGACUGAGACACGGCCCAAACUCCUACGGGAGGCAGCAGUGGGGAAUAUUGCACAAUGGGGGAAACCCUGAUGCAGCGACGCCGCGUGAGCGAUGAAGUAUUUCGGUAUGUAAAGCUCUAUCAGCAGGGAAGAAAAUGACGGUACCUGACUAAGAAGCACCGGCUAAAUACGUGCCAGCAGCCGCGGUAAUACGUAUGGUGCAAGCGUUAUCCGGAUUUACUGGGUGUAAAGGGAGCGUAGACGGAGUGGCAAGUCUGAUGUGAAAACCCGGGGCUCAACCCCGGGACUGCAUUGGAAACUGUCAAUCUGGAGUACCGGAGAGGUAAGCGGAAUUCCUAGUGUAGCGGUGAAAUGCGUAGAUAUUAGGAGGAACACCAGUGGCGAAGGCGGCUUACUGGACGGUAACUGACGUUGAGGCUCGAAAGCGUGGGGAGCAAACAGGAUUAGAUACCCUGGUAGUCCACGCCGUAAACGAUGACUACUAAGUGUCGGGCAGCAAAGCUGUUCGGUGCCGCAGCAAACGCAAUAAGUAGU
rnacentral:rRNA from 1 species